AGAGUGGACUUUCUUCUUCUUCUUCUUCUUCUUCUUCUUCUUCUAAGGAAUUCCCGAGAGGCUGUACACUGAAAAGCAAUGCUUUCCUCCAAAGACAAGGGUUCCUUGAUAUUUCCCUGGAAGUUAUAGCAAGUAGCGGGGGUAAAGGGGAUAUGACGUCAUUGACAGGCGACCAAAUGAAACGGACCCGUCCGUCAGAAGAGUCCAUCUGCAGACCUCCCUCCCGAAGCUCCUAGUGCUGUGAGCCAAUGGGGUUUGAGCAGGAGUAGUAGGUUUCUGUUGUAUGGAGUAAACUUUCACUUAUUUCACUUUAGCAGUCCACCAAAAUCUGCUUCUGUACAAAUUUGAGGCGAGAAAUAAGCAAUCCAGUUGCUAAAUCUCAACUCAUAUUAGAUCUACAAGGUUUGUUCCCACUUUAAGACAGGAGCACUACUGCACCGCCGGGUGGCCACUUCUUUCUCUCUUGUCAGUGCUUCAGUAAGCUUGUAGGGACACCGGAGCGAAGCAGAGCCCCAAAUUACUACACAUAUGGGCCCAUCUCACAAAGGAUUACAAGACAUGCCGGAUUUUGGAAAUGUUAUGAAGACUGAAGAAAGAUUAACCUGUUAUGUAAUGUUUGAAUAAAAUUGUUUGGAACCAUUA